UACGUAGGGUGCAAGCGUUGUCCGGAAUUAUUGGGCGUAAAGAGCUCGUAGGCGGUCUGUCGCGUCGGCUGUGAAAACUCGGGGCUCAACCCCGAGCCUGCAGUCGAUACGGGCAGACUAGAGUGCGGUAGGGGAGACUGGAAUUCCUGGUGUAGCGGUGAAAUGCGUAGAUAUCUGGAGGAACACCGGUGGCGAAGGCGGCAUUCUGGACCAUAACUGACACUGAGAGACGAAAGCCAGGGGAGCAAACGGG
rnacentral:rRNA from 1 species